UACGAAGGGAGCUAGCGUUGUUCGGAAUUACUGGGCGUAAAGCGCAUGCAGGCGGAUCGUUAAGUCAGGGGUGAAAUCCUGGAGCUCAACUCCAGAACUGCCUUUGAUACUGGCGAUCUUGAGUCCGGGAGAGGUGAGUGGAACUGCGAGUGUAGAGGUGAAAUGCGUAGAUAUUCGCAAGAACACCAGUGGCGAAGGCGGCUCACUGGCCCGAUACUGACGCUGAGGCACGAAAGCGUGGGGAGCAAACAGG
rnacentral:rRNA from 1 species